UACGGGGGGGGCAAGCGUUGUUCGGAAUUACUGGGCGUAAAGGGCUCGUAGGCGGCCAACUAAGUCAGACGUGAAAUCCCUCGGCUUAACCGGGGAACUGCGUCUGAUACUGGAUGGCUCGAGUUUGGGAGAGGGAUGCGGAAUUCCCGGUGUAGCGGUGAAAUGCGUAGAGAUCGGGAGGAACACCAGAGGCGAAGGCGGCGACCUGGACAGGAACUGACACUCAACUACGAAAGCGUGGGGAUCAAACAGG
rnacentral:rRNA from 1 species